rnacentral:misc_RNA from 1 species
GAAAUGCGAUAAGUAGUGUGAAUUGCAGAAUUCAGUGAAUCAUCGAAUCUUUGAACGCACAUUGCGCCCUUUGGUAUUCCUUAGGGCAUGCCUGUUCGAGCGUCAUCUAAACCUUCAAGCCCUGCUUGGUGUUGGGUGCCUGUCCCGCCUCCGCGCGCGGACUCACCUCAAAUCCAUUGGCGGCCCCCGCGUCGGCCACGAGCGCAGCAGAAACGCGAACUCGUGAGCCCGUCCGGGCGGCUCCCAGAAGCUACACCCACCCAGUUUGACCUCGGAUCAGGUAGGGAUACCCGCUGAGUUUAAGC